AGCCAAGGGAACGGGCUUGGCAGAA
rnacentral:ncRNA from 5 species